rnacentral:rRNA from 1 species
UGGGUAACACUAACUGGAGGACCGAACCCACUGUCGUUGAAAAGCCAGGGGAUGACUUGUGGAUAGGGGUGAAAGGCUAAUCAAGCCUGGUGAUAGCUGGUUCUCCCCGAAAGCUAUUUAGGUAGCGCCUCGGACGAAUACCAUAGGGGGUAGAGCACUGUUUCGGCUAGGGGGUCAUCCCGACUUACCAAACCGAUGCAAACUCCGAAUACCUAUGAGUACUAUCCGGGAGACAGACUGCGGGUGCUAACGUCCGUAGUCAAGAGGAAAACAAUCCAGACCGCCAGCUAAGGCCCCAAAAUCAUAGUUAAGUGGGAAACGAUGUGGGAAGGCAUAGACAGCUAGGAGGUUGGCUUAGAAGCAGCCACCCUUUAAAGAAAGCGUAAUAGCUCACUAGUCGAGUCGGCCUGCGCGGAAGAUGUAACGGGGCUAAAACUAUGUGCCGAAGCUGCGGAUA